rnacentral:rRNA from 1 species
GACGAACGCUGGCGGCGUGCCUAAUACAUGCAAGUCGAGCGAACAGACGAGGAGCUUGCUCCUCUGACGUUAGCGGCGGACGGGUGAGUAACACGUGGAUAACCUACCUAUAAGACUGGGAUAACUUCGGGAAACCGGAGCUAAUACCGGAUAAUAUAUUGAACCGCAUGGUUCAAUAGUGAAAGACGGUUUUGCUGUCACUUAUAGAUGGAUCCGCGCCGCAUUAGCUAGUUGGUAAGGUAACGGCUUACCAAGGCGACGAUGCGUAGCCGACCUGAGAGGGUGAUCGGCCACACUGGAACUGAGACACGGUCCAGACUCCUACGGGAGGCAGCAGUAGGGAAUCUUCCGCAAUGGGCGAAAGCCUGACGGAGCAACGCCGCGUGAGUGAUGAAGGUCUUCGGAUCGUAAAACUCUGUUAUUAGGGAAGAACAAAUGUGUAAGUAACUAUGCACGUCUUGACGGUACCUAAUCAGAAAGCCACGGCUAACUACGUG